UACGUAGGCAGCGAGCGUUGUUCGGAGUUACUGGGCGUAAAGAGUGCGUAGGCGGUUUUCUAAGUUUGGUGUGAAAUCUCCCGGCUUAACUGGGAGGGUGCGCCGAAGACUGGAAGGCUUGAGUAUGGGAGAGGCUCGCGGAAUUCCCAGUGUAGAGGUGAAAUUCGUAGAUAUUGGGAAGAACACCCGUGGCGAAAGCGGCUCUCUGGAACGGUACUGACGCUGAGACGCGAAAGCGUGGGGAGCGAACAGG
rnacentral:rRNA from 1 species